CCAGACUCCUACGGGAGGCAGCAGUGAGGAAUAUUGGUCAAUGGCCGAGAGGCUGAACCAGCCAAGUCGCGUGAGGGAUGACGGCCCUACGGGUUGUAAACCUCUUUUACCGGGGAGCAACGGGGUCCUUGCGAGGGCCCGAUGAGAGUACCCGGAGAAAAAGCAUCGGCUAACUCCGUGCCAGCAGCCGCGGUAAUACGGAGGAUGCGAGCGUUAUCCGGAUUUAUUGGGUUUAAAGGGUGCGCAGGCGGAGGUGCAAGUCAGCGGUCAAAUUGCGGGGCUCAACCCCGUACUGCCGUUGAAACUGCAUCCCUUGAGUGCGCGAGAAGUAUGCGGAAUGCGUGGUGUAGCGGUGAAAUGCAUAGAUAUCGCGCAGAACUCCGAUUGCGAAGGCAGCAUGCCGGCUCCACACUGACGCUGAGGCACGAAAGCGUGGGUAUCGAACAGGAUUAGAUACCCUUGUAGGA
rnacentral:rRNA from 1 species